GACAGCGAGGGAAGUACUGUCUAAACUCUUUAGACCAAUUUUUUUAAACAAAUUUUCUGACAUCUGUGUACCAAAAAAUCCCCUGACUUUAAGCCAUGGUAUUUAAAUGACGUUCAGAUUUGUAGUAGCUCAGAUUAAAGUUUGCCACUGGUUCAAUAUGAAGGUCCUCGUAACAUUUCUGUCAGUUAUACUUCUUUUCAACAUCAUUUUGGGCGCCGUAAGUGCUAUCCCAAUCGACGAACACUAUGAAACGUAUGCUUUGGUACGAAAACUGAGACCGAAAAGAGAAGAAAAAACUUGUCACAUUCUUAACAAGUCGGGAAAGCCAAUCACAGAGUCUGAGUGCGAUUUAGUUUGUUGGUCACAAGAAUUCCAAGUUGGGAGAUGUAGGGGUAACGCUUGUUACUGCAGCAAUAAGUAAAUUGAUAAAAAAUAGAUAUAUUUUUAAAAUAUGUAAUGUCGAGGAUGAUAAAUAAAUAAAUAUGAACCAAAA